CAGAUAAGGAAUCGAUAGAUUUUUGUGGAAACGGUUCAACAACGUCCAAAGAAUCGCCCAUGAAAUCGACAGAAGAUCGUGCAACAAUCGCAAGAGCCGGGCCAGCUGGUAGACACCACGAAUGUAACAUUCUAGAUUUGAAGGAAGUCUUACAAGAGGCGUAAAUUCUUGAUUGAAGAAUCACUAAGUAAGAGCCAACAUUUAUAUAUCUACGCAGAGUACUACACCGAACAAGCCGAGAAAGUCAAGAACGUGGAUUCCAUGGGUUAACCAUGCUCGAAGAAGGAUAUCUGACGGGCCAGUUAGCCUACUUACGAAGACUUGAAAUUCGCCCCGACGCGUCGUCAUCAUGACCGGUUCUCACUUAUUUCGAUAAUAAUGCCCAGCAGUGGCCCACAAAAUUUAAGAAAAGGUUUCCUAUGCGAUCAACACCCAACCAACGAAUCACAAUUUACCUAAGACUUGCGUAAUAAUUGUGGACGACAUCGUCGACGUGCCGAACUCGUGUCUUCGAUUUGCCAGGUAUUGAAAGAGAUUUCAAAAUCCGGUCUCUGUGUCACUUUCGAACAGAGAAAGUCGUGCAAUUCAUUUUGCCGUUCGUAGAACGAUUUAUAGAAAACUUUCGUUAGAGAUUGCUAAGACACUUAGAAAUUGAAGCGCGAAUAGAAAUUGUUCAAAUGGAAUAUUAAUGUUCCCAAUGCAUGAAAUUAUUAUUAUUAAUGAUAUUAUUAAUUUUAAAUAACGUUUUGUAUUUGUUUCUUCCGAUAUAAUAAUGAUUUAAUAUAAUUUAGUGAUUUUCAAUGUUUGCAUUAUACGGAACACGAACGAAAAAGUUAAAUUUGACUAUUGCGCAUGCGUUUCGCGGGCUUACGCCGCUUGUAUUGUCGAUAUAAUGUUUAAACAACAUUAUAAAUAUAAUAAUACAAUGUUAUG
rnacentral:misc_RNA from 1 species